UGAAUUGUUGCACCAAGUGUUGCACUAUUAUUGGUAAUUAACAACAAGUGUUCAACUCUCAUUGGCCUAUCUUAUAUUUUUCCCACUUCUCUCUCUCUUCGUUUCUAAUUUUCAAAACUCACUUCUCUCUUUUUUUCAUCUUUUCCCUCUUUCAUUCUCUCACUGUAUUCCCUUUUCUCUCUUACAUUCUGCCUCUCUUCCGUUUUCCAUUCAAACCCUAGCCGUCGUCAACCAUUUCUCCGGCCACCACCACCUUAAACGAACAAGAUUGCUUGUCGUACUCAGUGACAGCGAAAUUGGAGAUCUCGAUCACGUGUGGAUCGUUGAUGUCGGAGAUUGGGGUAUAACCACCGACUGUCGGCGUAGAUAGUUUUCUUGCAAAUGCAGAGGCUAAUAGAAGAAGUGUGAGAAGAACUAGGGUUUGGGAUUUCAUGAUUUCUAAGUCCCAAUACGCAUUAUGGGUUUUUCUUUGCUGAUGAUGUUGUUCCAAGCAAAGAAUUUCAACGGCUGGUGUAUGUUUUCGCUGGUAACAUCUUCAGUUUUAUUGUAAU